GACGAACGCUGGCGGCGUGCUUAACACAUGCAAGUCGAACGGAAAGGCCCUGCUUUUGUGGGGUGCUCGAGUGGCGAACGGGUGAGUAACACGUGAGUAACCUGCCCUUGACUUUGGGAUAACUUCAGGAAACUGGGGCUAAUACCGGAUAGGAGCUCCUGCUGCAUGGUGGGGGUUGGAAAGUUUCGGCGGUUGGGGCUGGACUCGCGGCUUAUCAGCUUGUUGGUGGGGUAGUGGCUUACCAAGGCUUUGACGGGUAGCCGGCCUGAGAGGGUGAACGGCCACAUUGGGACUGAGAUACGGCGCAGACUGCUACGGGAGGCAGCAGUGGGGAAUAUUGCACAAUGGGCGGAAGCCUGAUGCAGCAACGCCGCGUGCGGGAUGACGGCCUUCGGGUUGUAAACCGCUUUCGCCUGUGACGAAGCGUGAGUGACGGUAAUGGGUAAAGAAGCACCGGCUAACUACGUG
rnacentral:rRNA from 1 species